AUUGAACGCUGGCGGCAGGCCUAACACAUGCAAGUCGAGCGGAUGAAGGGAGCUUGCUCCUGGAUUCAGCGGCGGACGGGUGAGUAAUGCCUAGGAAUCUGCCUGGUAGUGGGGGAUAACGUCCGGAAACGGGCGCUAAUACCGCAUACGUCCUGAUGGAGGAAGUGGGGGAUCUUCGGACCUCACGCUAUCAGAUGAGCCUAGGUCGGCUUAGCUAGUUGGUGGGGUAAAGGCCUACCAAGGCGACGAUCCGUAACUGGUCGGAGAGGAUGAUCAGUCACACUGGAACGGAGACACGGUCCAGAGGCCUACGGGAGGCAGCAGUGGGGAAUAUGAGACAACGGGCGAAAGCCUGAUCCAGCCAGGCCGCGUGUGUGAAGAAGGUCUUCGGAUUGUAAAGCACUUUAAGUGGGGAGGAAGGGCAGUAAGUUAAUACCUUGCUGUUUUGACGUUACCAGCAGAAUAAGCACCGGCUAACUUCGUG
rnacentral:rRNA from 1 species